rnacentral:rRNA from 1 species
GCGAACGCUGGCGGCAGGCCUCACACCUGCAAGUCGCACGGAUCCUUCGGGAUUAGUGGCGGACGGGUGAGUAACACGUGGGAACGUGCCCUUUGGUUCGGAACAACUCAGGGAAACUUGAGCUAAUACCGGAUGUGCCCUUCGGGGGAAAGAUUUAUCGCCAUUGGAGCGGCCCGCGUCUGAUUAGCUAGUUGGUGAGGUAACGGCCCACCAAGGCGACGAUCAGUAGCUGGUCUGAGAGGAUGAUCAGCCACACUGGGACUGAGACACGGCCCAGACUCCUACGGGAGGCAGCAGUGGGGAAUCUUGCGCAAUGGGCGAAAGCCUGACGCAGCCAUGCCGCGUGAAUGAUGAAGGUCUUAGGAUUGUAAAAUUCUUUCAGCGGGGACGAUAAUGACGGUACCCGCAGAAGAAGCGCCGGCUAACUUCGUG